rnacentral:rRNA from 1 species
AUUGAACGCUGGCGGCAGGCCUAACACAUGCAAGUCGAGCGGAUGAAGGGAGCUUGCUCCUGGAUUCAGCGGCGGACGGGUGAGUAAUGCCUAGGAAUCUGCCUGGUAGUGGGGGAUAACGUCCGGAAACGGGCGCUAAUACCGCAUACGUCCUGAGGGAGAAAGUGGGGGAUCUUCGGACCUCACGCUAUCAGAUGAGCCUAGGUCGGAUUAGCUAGUUGGUGGGGUAAAGGCCUACCAAGGCGACGAUCCGUAACUGGUCUGAGAGGAUGAUCAGUCACACUGGAACUGAGACACGGUCCAGACUCCUACGGGAGGCAGCAAUGGGGAAUAUUGGACAAUGGGCGAAAGCCUGAUCCAGCCAUGCCGCGUGUGUGAAGAAGGUCUUCGGAUUUUAAAGCACUUUAAGUUGGGAGGAAGGGCAGUAAGUUAAUACCUUGCUGUUUUGACGUUACCAACAGAAUAAGCACCGGCUAACUUCGUG